AAUGUUCUGAUUUUAUUUCCUUCUUGUUUCCCUACUGUUGCUAUACCAUACAUAAGUUGACUAGUCUAUAUUUGAUAUGUGCUCUAUUUAUGAAUUAAUUUUUGUAUAUGUGGUAUUGUUUAUCAAAUUCUGUUCCAAGGCCACUAAAGAAUAGAUGAAGCAAUGAAGAAUUAAUGCUUGCUACUGGGACUGGAGGAGUAACUCGUCUUCGACACGAUUUAAAACUCUGCAGUGCAUACCUUGGAGUUCAUGUAUGGGACCUUGUUACUGGAAGACUUUUACAAACUCGAGUUUUUCCACUACCAAUUACUGCAAUAGUUGUUGAUCCAACAGAGAUGAAGUUAUUUUCUAGUGGUAUAGAUUACUAGUGGAUAUUUCUUUUUUGUAUAUGGAGGACAUCAUUUUUGUAUGAUUAUCUGUUUGUAUGGAAUUAUUAUUUUGGGCUGGAUUA